CUUCUGCCCUGCAAAACCAGCGAAUGCUCCUCCCUCUCCUUGAUUUUUAAGCUACAUUUUACCAUGAUAAGAUAAUGCCCCACUGCCAGUCCUGAAGGGGCUUGUGGUUGAAAGCGCUAGUGGAAUCUCCGUGGCUGGGUCAGCCAGGCAGCUCCUGGUGCCUCACGGUGUUUUUUUUUUUAAAAUCAACUUUAAAAGGAAUCUCAGGAAUCAAAGCACCGUCCCAGCGCCGCGCCAGAGCCCUUGCCUACCGUGCCACGAGGGGUGGCCAGCCUGGGGUGGCAUCACCGUGGCUGGUGGUCCCACCUGAGCAAGCCCUUUGGUCCUGGAACCAGCCAGCUACCCCAGCCACACUGUAUCCCCAUACAGGGUACAUGCACAGGGCACGCCUGUAUGUGUGUGUGUGUAUAUUUCUAUAUUCCUCUCUGUACCUGUACACUCAGAAGAGGCACUGUAAAGCUGAGGGUCGUUGUCUGCCUGGUGUUAGUCCUCAGGAGGGGAGACGAGGCAGGGAUCUGCACAGCUUCCCCGAGGUGGCCAAAGCACGUCCAUGGUGGUGAAGAGAUGCUGAAGAGGAGGCCGGAGCGAAGAGGCUGAAGUAAGGACAAAGAUGGAUCUGGGAACCACUGCAAUGGGUCGGGAUGGGGCAGGCCUGAGUGAGAGGAUUGCUGUAACAGCAGCUGUGACAGAGGCAGCAUCUUUCCCCACUAAAAAUGGCAUCCUUUCCCAUGAAGGGACAAAUUCCACUGCUAGGCAAUGCUAAUUUUUAAUGCAAAUCCCUCCUGUCUCCGUGAUGGACUCCUUCUGUCUUUGGAAGAACGUGGUCCAGGCUUUUCACUGGCUCCAGCAACAGUGAGGCAGCUUCAAAUCCAGCAGAAAUUUGCUGAUCUGCCCCCAGUUCGCUCCUUUUAGGAACUGCUUGUGCACCCUCUGCCCUGGGAAAGCAUCCUGCUCAUGACCAGCUCACAGCGUGGAUUCCCACCCUCUGAGACAAGAAAUACCCCCACAACACUCCAGAAAAUUCUGAUUUCGCCAGAGGUUCUUCCACUCACCAUGUUUCAUCCCUUAAUAUCAGCUGGAGACCUCAGCUGAAGGAAUUGUGGUGAGCCCAAACAGCUGAUAGUUAUGAAUUCUUUUAAUAAGAUUAAAGCCAAAAUGAACUUUCUUAGUUGCAAUAGCCCCUAGCUCUGGGCCAGGGAGCCUGGACUGUAGUAGCAGCUGCUGCUGCCCACCUGCAGCAUUUCCCCUUCACUCCCCACAAGCACAGAGCUGGGCAGUGCAGAGCCGAACAUCCCGAGCUGGAACUCUGUGCCCUCACCAUGGCUCUGCCCUCCUGGGCCUCCCCACCUCCUCUGUCCCCCGCCAGCCUGAGACCACACCGAGAUCUCCCUGCUGGUGAAGAGGCUGACAUCUCCUGACUCCAGGGGAGCGUUUACAUCCUUUGGCUUCCUGGGCUUCACCCUCAAUGCCUUUUUUGCCCCUGCAGUGAUGCCUGGGAUGGACUGGGAGCAGGGCACGUGCAGGGACAGUGGCACAGGUGCUGUGGCAGCAGGCAGGGGCUGAGCCCGGGUGUCUGAUGGGUGCUGCCCUCCCAUCCCUGCUGGAUGCACCUCUCAGUGGCAGCAGAUUGGAGGAAGCAUUUUCUCUCUGGCCGCAGUACACAUCAAGAAGGGGAGAAGCCAAGCACUGUCCAGCCCCCAGCUUGGUCUCCACUACAAAUUGUCCUGCUGCCAGUCCCUCCGGAGCACUCCAGAAAUCAGAGGCUGGCUGACCCCCACUGCUGCUUCAGCAGCUCCCAGAGGAACAGGCUGGGGGAGCAGCGGCCCUGAGGCAGAUCCUACCACGUCCCACCUGCCAGGCUCUCCUGUGCCUGCCCAAAUGCUGGAGAUGGUACCCCAAGAGAAAUCUUUAUGGACAUCCUCCCAUGCACCCUUGUCAUCUGCUGUGAGCCAGCAGCCCUUGGCCGUGUUCCUGGGGGACUUGUCUCAGGCUGGCAUUGCCACCAGCACCCAGCCCCCAGUGCCCAUUUCAAACAGGUGAUCUUCUUCCUCUGUCCUGGUUUUCAGAAGCAAAUUCAAACUCUUUCUGUGCCAGUCUGAGAUGUCUUUCAUCACUCUGUGCACAGCCAGCACAGGAGAUGAAGCAGAACUAUUACUACACUUUAUAUGCAGAGUAUGUUUAUAAAGGAUUAAUAAAUUAUUAAUAAUGUUUUCAUGAAGUCAAUCCAGACCCUGACCCUCUGGAGGGUCAGCAGAGUGCACAAGCCACAGCAAAUGAGCUCCUGCAAGUCCCCUCUGUUGUUUGCACUCUUGCCAUGCAUUAACACCUAACACUCACCUGCCAAGCCUUGCAAGGCACCUGUCACUCCCAGUGUGACCCAACCUCCCUGUGCUCUGGUCAACCCCUGCAGAAGACCUGCAGUGUUCUGCUCCUGCCCAGCAGCAAGCACAAGGCCUGGCCUGGUCCCAGGCCUCCUGCCCAGUGCUGCCAGAGCAAGAAAACCCCAUUUCACUGAGGAUUUUUGUCUCCUCAAAUUUAAAACAAAUGAAAGGUGCUUAAAAACUGAGAACUUCCUGUGUGUGCAUCCAUUUGCAUGUGUAGAUAUUUCACAGCCCAGUGUAGGUGUUCUGUAGCUUGUUUUGGUUGAAUUUUCUAUGGGUUUGUUGGGGAUUUUUUUUGCACCCAGUAUUUGUGAUGCACUGUGUGAUGCUUCCAAUGGGAAGAUUCUGGUUUGCAGGGAGCUCUUGAGCUGGUCCUGCUGGGACAGGUGGGAUGAAUUUUGCUUUCUUUUCUGUACUUGUCUGGGGGAAACUACAGCAUGGACUCAGGGACAAACCUAUUUGUUAGGGUCUUUAAAAUGUCUUUUCCACAGGCUUCUCUGUUAGAAUGUGGGGUUUGGUUUGGGGAUGCUGCAGGGAUGAGGCCUGUGGCAUCAUGUGGCGGUGACAGGAGCUGCAGGGUGCUCUGACACUCCUGUGUGAAAAAGAAAUUGUGGCCAUUCGUGGUGGGAUCAUUCCUGGGCUGCAGCCCCUCUUCGUUUGUUCAUGACCUGAAAAUUCACCUUUACAGCCAAAUGUGACCGGUCCCUUUUUGGACUGGCUUGUGAACAACCAGGUAUGGAUUUUCAGCACUGAGCCUCCUAGGGUUUGGGAAGUGCAGCAGGACUGUGUGUUAUGGCCUGAUCCACCACAGCACUGGGAUCAGGGGACAACCAGGAUGGGGAAGCCAUUGAAAUGAUCACCUGGGGAAAUGGUGAUGCAGGCAACUGAAAGAAAUUUUUGUAUUUCUUGCAAUGAAAGCAUAAAAAAGGGGAGAAUUCCCAGUGGAGAGGCCUGGGCAAAUCCCUGUUCAGUAAAUGGCAGCUUUGCUGGGCAGUGUGUCAGUGCUGGGCUCAGACACCUGAGCGGGCUCCAGCCCCAGCUCAGCUCCCAGCCCCGUACUGGGCUCGCAGGCUCAGGGCAGCAGGGCACUGAGGGGGCUGGGACAGUGCUCUCAGCAGUGGCUGGAGCUCGUGAGACCCCUUACAGAGGGAAGAAUCUUCCCACCACUGAAGUGCCCAUGGUGCAGGGAUCUUCUUCAAGUAAGAUUUGCCCCUGCUUGCCUGGUUCUGCUCUGGCUGCCACAUCCCAGCGUGAGGGAUAAAUCCUCAAAGCAUGGUGGGAUCAGGAGGGACAGCCCUGCUGGAGAAGUGCCACCCCUUGGGCUGCCCCAGGGCCCCCAGUGCCCCCAGGCCUCCGAGGCUGUGCGUGCUGCACUGGCCAAGCUGUGGCCACGGCACUCUCAGGACCCCUCACCAGCAGCCACAACAAAGUUCUCCCGCUGAAUUCUGGCUCUUGCUUGGCACCGCAGGGCUGGAGGGAUGCCAAGGGAGUAGGGGCAAAGUCCUUCUCACCUGUUGCUCUGAAACUUGCACUCACAAAUGCUCUAAGAAACUCUGCCGCAAAAGCUUGGAAAACAAUUCUUUCCAUGGGAGUCACAUUUUCAUUGUGCAGAACAUAAACAUGUGGCUCAUCCUAAAGAUCACUGCUGUGGGAAUCUUCUCUCUUUAGGCAUGUUUCUAAUCAAUAAUUUUAUAUUUAC
rnacentral:lncRNA from 1 species